rnacentral:lncRNA from 1 species
UCUAAGAAGAGAUCCAUCCACAAAUGCAAGCUUGUUCUUAGCAUCUAGGGCAGUUGUAAUAGCUAUGUUCCAGGUGUUAUAGUUUGUUCCAUCAAGUACCUCUGAUACAAGACUCGGUGGUGAGCUUGUAUCAGGAUAUAUAUGAUGGCUACACAAGAUGGCGGUCGCUUCUCUCUUGUGUAGGAAAGAUGGUCGUUGAUGUAGAUCUG